AUGGGGUGCAGCAGGCGAGAAAACUUUGCAAUGUGCGAAAGCACGACAAGGUUAAUCCGAGUGUUUUCUGCUAAAGAAAUCUUUUGUUAGUUCUAAAACCACUAACGAAUAAGGGGUGGGCAAGUUCUGGUGUCAGCCGCCGCGGUAAAACCAGCACCUCAAGUGGUCAGGAGGAUUAUUGGGCCUAAAGCAUCCGUAGCCGGCUAUGUUAGUUUUCGGUUAAAUCCAUGUGCUCAACACAUGGGCUGUCGAGAAUACUGCAUAGCUAGGGAGUGGGAGAGGUAGACGGCACUCGGUAGGAAGGGGUAAAAUCCUUUGAUCUAUCGAUGACCACCAGUGGCGAAGGCGGUCUACCAGAACAUGUCCGACGGUGAGGGAUGAAAGCUGGGGGAGCAAACCGGAUUAGAUACCCGGGUAGUCCCAGCUGUAAACUAUGCAAACUCAGUGAUGCAUUGGCUUGUGGCCAGUGCAGUGCCGCAGAGAAGUCGUUAAGUUUGCCGCCUGGGGAGUACGUACGCAAGUAUGAAACUUAAAGGAAUUGGCGGGGGAGCAC
rnacentral:rRNA from 1 species